rnacentral:rRNA from 1 species
AGAGAGAGACAUGCGCGCAUAUCAAUAAGCGGAGGAAAAGAAACUAACUAGGAUUCCCUUAGUAACGGCGAGUGAAGCGGGAAGAGCUCAAAUUUGAAAUCUUCAAGGUUUUACCUUGACGAAUUGUAGUUUAAAGAAGUGUUUUCUGCUGAAGUUUUGGUAAAAGUUCUUUGGAAUAGGGACAUCAUAGAGGGUGAGAAUCCCGUAUUUGACCAUUAUUUUCAGCUUUGUGAUACACUUUCAAAGAGUCGGAUUGUUUGGGAAUGCAGUCCAAUAUGGGUGGUAAAUUUCAUCUAAAGCUAAAUAUUGGCGAGAGACCGAUAGCGAACAAGUACCGUGAGGGAAAGAUGAAAAGAACUUUGAAAAGAGAGUUAAACAGUACGUGAAAUUGUCAAAAGGGAAGCGUUUGACACCAGUGUUGUUUUCUCGAAAAUCAAUUAAAAAUGGCUCGAUUUUGUAUUGCUUGAGACCUUAAAAGCUCACUGUACAUUUUUCGUGUCUUUUUUAAUGCACUUUUCGUUUAACAAGUCAACAUCAGUUUCUUUUGUUAGUAAAAGGGUCAUUGGAAGGUGGCUUUCUUUUCGGAGAAAGUGUUUAUAGCCUUUGGCCUCUGCAAUCGGAGAGACUGAGGUCUGCAGCGUAGACUCUUCGGGGUUAGAUACAUUUGUGCUAAGUUAUAGCUUUUUAUAGACAACUUGUUGACUAUAAUUAGUCUUGUAGCUUACUCGCUUAUGCUAUUCUACCUACGCUUAGGAUGUUGAAGAUGUAGCACAUCAU